CCCCGUGGUGUGCAGUGGGUACGGGCAGACUAGAGUGCAGUAGGGGAGACUGGAAUUCCUGGUGUAGCGGUGAAAUGCGCAGAUAUCAGGAGGAACACCGAUGGCGAAGGCAGGUCUCUGGGCUGUUACUGACGCUGAGGAGCGAAAGCAUGGGGAGCAAACAGGAUUAGAUACCCUGGUAGUCCAUGCCGUAAACGUUGGGCACUAGGUGUGGGGGACAUUCCACGUUUUCCGCGCCGUAGCUAACGCAUUAAGUGCCCCGCCUGGGGAGUACGGCCGCAAGGCUAAAACUCAAAGGAAUUGACGGGGGCCCGCACAAGCGGCGGAGCAUGCGGAUUAAUUCGAUGCAACGCGAAGAACCUUACCAAGGCUUGACAUGCACCAGACCGGCCCAGAGAUGGGUUUUCCUCUUUGAGGUUGGUGUACAGGUGGUGCAUGGUUGUCGUCAGCUCGUGUCGUGAGAUGUUGGGUUAAGUCCCGCAACGAGCGCAACCCUCGUUCUAUGUUGCCAGCACGUGAUGGUGGGGACUCAUAGGAGACUGCCGGGGUCAACUCGGAGGAAGGUGGGGAUGACGUCAAAUCAUCAUGCCCCUUAUGUCUUGGGCUUCACGCAUGCUACAAUGGCCGGUACAAUGGGUUGCGAUACCGUGAGGUGGAGCUAAUCCCAAAAAGCUGGUCUCAGUUCGGAUCGUGGUCUGCAACUCGACCACGUGAAGUCGGAGUCGCUAGUAAUCGCAGAUCAGCAACGCUGCGGUGAAUACGUUCCCGGGCCUUGCACACACCGCCCGU
rnacentral:rRNA from 1 species